UCUGUCAAGGUAACGGAUGUGCAAAGAAAUAUAUAAGGACAUUUGACAGCAUUAGCACU
rnacentral:sRNA from 1 species